UGCUCGUCCUGCCUGUUCGAGCAGCAGAUGGUUCCCAUUAAGAGAAAGAGCCUUGGCUCUUUCCGCUCGACGAUGUGGCUGUGGACUUUGAUAGCGCUGCGAGGCUUUUGCGAAAUGUGAAACUUUCCCAAGGACUAGCUGCUGAUCUGUCCAGAGCUACAGUUUUUGACUCCUGUGACACCUGAAGGAAAAAAUGGUUACACCAGUCUACCUUCCUUAUUUUUAGAGCAUUUUACGGUAUUUGAAGAAAACCUGAGGUGGAGUCUCUUCCCAGUGCUAAAGUUCAGAGAUUGUCAUAUGACUCACUGCAGGUAA